rnacentral:rRNA from 1 species
UACGGAGGGAGCUAGCGUUGUUCGGAAUUACUGGGCGUAAAGCGCACGUAGGCGGCUUUGUAAGUUAGAGGUGAAAGCCCGGAGCUCAACUCCGGAAUUGCCUUUAAGACUGCAUCGCUUGAAUCCGGGAGAGGUGAGUGGAAUUCCGAGUGUAGAGGUGAAAUUCGUAGAUAUUCGCAAGAACACCAGUGGCGAAGGCGGCUCACUGGCCCGUAACUGACGCUGAGGCACGGAAAGCGUGGGGAAGCAAACAGGG